rnacentral:misc_RNA from 1 species
ACAAGAGCGAACCAAACAAAGGAGUGUAAAACGAUGUGAGGCUUAUUCGCAAAUUAACCUUGGACAAAACAAGUCUGUAAAUUCAACAAGUUCUUUCUAAACCGAACAGACCAAACAAUAUUGCUACCAAAUUCAAUCAACGGUGAAUCGCAAACAAAAAACGCGAAUCCGAAUGAUUGUUUUUAUUCCGUGCAGCCAAAUGCGAAUAUCUGGAUCCUCUACACUCAGACCGCCUUUUCCGCUGAGGUUAAGGUGAUCGUAAAAUUGUUCAGAUUUUGUAUAUCCACACUCAUAAUUGAGGCGUGUGAGGUGUUUCAAGGAGGACUGCGUAAGUUGGGGUCAGCGAAAUGGGAACAGGGUACCCAAUAACAGGCAACGUGUGGAACAACCGGAAAUCAAAAUGUCGAAUAUUCUCGAGGUUAAAAAUCGCCACGUUAACCCUCCUGUAAUUUUAUAAUACUGUUAAAAUCGUAAAAUGUCGACUAAAAAUAAAAUUGUGUCAUAGGUAACUAUAGUUUAUAUGAAAACAGCCACUGUCUAGGAAAGCAAGAAGUAAUAAACCGUCAUCCAUUCGUCUCAUCGGCCAAUCAUCGCCAGAUAUUGCAUCCAACCAGAGUCUUCCAUCCAACAAUGCUUCGAGAUGGUAAUUCGUCAACGCGAAUACAAAGCUUAAUCCAACGCGUUCAAAGUUCUGCGCAUCUUGCAGGUCCAAGAGAAUAAAAUACUUUCCAAUGAUUCAAAG